rnacentral:lncRNA from 1 species
CAGGAGUUUAAUGUGAAAUUCAAAAACAUGUAUUUCUUAGAAAUUGUCUGUACUAUAAAAAAGAUUCCAUCCCCCCCACAGAAUACAGUUCAGAGAACAAGAAAUAUAAGUGAUUAAUAAAUUUAUGAUAAAGUGCUAGAUCUCAUUCAUGAUAAAAGAAAUGCAUAUUAAAAUAACAAUGCUGUACCAUUUUUUACUACCAGGCUGGAGAUUAAAAACAGAUCCUCUCAAACACAUGCUGCUGGUAGGAGCACAGCUUGGCACAAGCUGUUCACAUGGUAUUUAUCUAGAUUUCAAGUACACCUACUCUUUGACCCAGCAUUCCAUUUCUAGAAAUUCACCCAACAGAUUUAUCAUAUAAGCAUGCAAGAACAUAUAUUACAGAGUUAUGUAUUAUAGCAGUGUUUGUCAUAGUGAAAAAUCUAAAAUCAUUCUAAUUGUGUUUAAAUAGAGAAACAAAUGUGUUAUAGUAAAACCAUACUGUGACAUAUCUGUGUGGCAUGGACAGAUUGCUAAAUGGAGAAAGCUGGUUACAAAGUUAUGUAUAUGUGUAUGUGUAGCAUAAGUGCGUUUAGGGGGAAAAUGCACUGUAUAUACUUAAACAUCUGGAAUGGCACAUAUGAAAUGGUAAUAUCUGGGAAGUAGAAUUUAAAUGAGAAGAAAGAUGAAGAUAAUGUCUUAUUUCUCAACUAUUUAUACUUAAACAUAUACUACUUUUAUAAUAAAGUAUAUUUUUAUUUCAGUCACACUUUUGCAUUGCUAU